AAUGAACGCUGGCGGCAGGCCUAACACAUGCAAGUCGAGCGGAGCGGCGGACGGGUGAGUAAUGCCUAGGAAUCUGCCUGGUAGUGGGGGAUAACGUCAGGAAACGGGCGCUAGUACCGCAUACUAUGAGAUGAGCCUAGGUCGGAUUAGCUAGUUGGUGGGGUAAAGGCCUACCAAGGAGACGAGCCGUAAGUGUUCUGAGGGGAUGAUCAGUCACACUGACACUGAGACACGGUCCAGACUCCUACGGGAGGCAGCAGUGGGGAAUAUUGGACAAUGGGCGAAAGCCUGAUCCAUCCAUGCCGCGUGUGUGAAGAAGGUCUUCGGAUUGUAAAGCACUUUAAGUUGGGAGGCGUUACCAACAGAAUAAGCACCGGCUAACUUCGUGCCAGCAGCCGCGGUAAUAC
rnacentral:rRNA from 1 species